UGUUAUACUUGUUAUGAAAUGUUAAUGCUGCUUGAUUAGUAAAAGAUAUGUGCUCUAAAUUCAAAGAAUUUGGCGGCUUUUUAAUCUUAUUAGGGGAACCUGUCUUUUAAACGAUAAUCCACGAAAUAUUUUGCCUACUUUCGAUAGUUUGUAUACCGUCAUUUAAGUAACUUUUAUAGAAGAAGUUAUUAAAAUAGUUUUGAUAUUACUAAGAUGUUAGAUCAAGGUGCAGCAUAUAAGUAGGUUAAGAUGGGUUACAAUAAAAUUUAUUUACAACGGAAAAAGUUUUGAAUAAUAUUUUNAGAAGGUGGACUUUAAAGUAAAGCUAAUUUAAUAAGAUAGCUUGAUUUUAGCUCUAAAUAGUGUACAAAU
rnacentral:rRNA from 1 species